GUUGGCUCAGUUGGUAGAGCACUGCACUGGUAUCGCAGAGGUCAUGGGUUUGAAUCCUAUCAAAGCCU